CAGUCGCCGCGGGAAUACCAGCAGCCCAAGUGGUGGUCGCGAUUAUUGGGCCUAAAGCGCUCGUAGCCGGGCCGGUAAGUCCCUUGUGAAAUCGGACGGCCUAACCGUUCGGCGUGCAAGGGAUACUGUCGGUCUUGAGGCCGGGAGACGUCCGAGGUACUCCGGGGGUAGCGGUGAAAUGUUCUGAUCCUCGGGGGACCACCGGUGGCGAAGGCGUUCGACGAGAACGGGCCUGACGGUGAGGGGCGAAGGCUAGGGGAGCAAACGGGAUUAGAGACCCCAGUAGUCCCUGUCUCUUAUU
rnacentral:rRNA from 1 species